GUUGGCCUUUAAUUGAGGUCUGGUAUGAACGGAUUUAUAUGUAUUAACUGUCUCAUUUGUACUUUAUUGAAUUUACUUAAUAGGUGAAAAUUCCUAUCAGCUUAAUAAGAAGGACGAUAAGACCCUUAGAAUUAUUAAAUAAAAGAUAUUUCUACAAUAUAGUCAAUUAUUUUUGUUGGGGCGACAUAUUAACAUAAUAACAUAAUAUAUGUAAAUUAAUUACAAGACAUACAUUAUUAGAAAGAUUUAAUUACCUAAGGGAUAACAGCAUAAUAUUACUGAAUAUGUUUAUGACCUCGAUGUUGGACUAGGUAUAUUUAUGAUUAGAAGUUAUAAAUAGUUGUUCUGUUCGAACAUUUAACACCUACAUGAUCUGAGUUCAGACCG
rnacentral:rRNA from 1 species